GAUGAACGCUGGCGGCGUGCCUAAUACAUGCCAGUCGAGCGAACGGACGAGAAGCUUGCUUCUCUGAUGUUAGCGGCGGACGGGUGAGUAACACGUGGAUAACCUACCUAUAAGACUGGGAUAACUUCGGGAAACCGGAGCUAAUACCGGAUAAUAUUUUGAACCGCAUGGUUUAAAAGUGAAAGACGGUCUUGCUGUCACUUAUAGAUGGAUCCGCGCUGCAUUAGCUAGUUGGUAAGGUAACGGCUUACCAAGGCAACGAUGCAUAGCCGACCUGAGAGGGUGAUCGGCCACACUGGAACUGAGACACGGUCCAGACUCCUACGGGAGGCAGCAGUAGGGAAUCUUCCGCAAUGGGCGAAAGCCUGACGGAGCAACGCCGCGUGAGUGAUGAAGGUCUUCGGAUCGUAAAACUCUGUUAUUAGGGAAGAACAUAUGUGUAAGUAACUGUGCACAUCUUGACGGUACCUAAUCAGAAAGCCACGGCUAACUACGUG
rnacentral:rRNA from 1 species